CUCUUCCCACGCACUGAGCAGCACUGCAGAGCUCUGCCUUGGCCAUGCAGGUGGACACCUUGGAGCUGGGCAGUCCCAGAGGGAGCUGCAGCAUCCAUGACAGAUGGCUUUCCUUCUGGGCUGGUAGGGGGACUGUGACCAUCCUGGUCCAGGAGCUGAUGAGCUGCAGUUGUUCACCAGGGCCCAGGGAUGAAAGGAGAUGAUGGUGCCUUACAGAACUGUACACUGUGGUGACAGAGGACGGGGCUGAUGUGCAUUCCACCUGGC
rnacentral:lncRNA from 1 species